rnacentral:rRNA from 1 species
AAAGCCCCNGGCUAAMUNACGUGCCNAGCAGCCNGCGGUAAUACGUAGGGGNGCAAGCGUUGUCCGGAAUUAUUGGGCGUAAAGGGCACGCAGGCGGUUUCGUCAGUCCGAUGUGACAGGCCACGGCUCAACCGUGGAAGGCCAUUGGAAACUGCGAAACUUGAGGACAGAAGAGGAGAGUGGAAUUCCACGUGUAGCGGUGAAAUGCGUAGAUAUGUGGAGGAACACCAGUGGCGAAGGCGACUCUCUGGUCUGUACCUGACGCUGAGGUGCGAAAGCAUGGGNGAGCAAACAGGAUUAGAUACCCUGGUAGUCCAUGCCGUAAACGCUGAGUGCUAGGUGUUAGGGGUUUCGAUACCCGUAGUGCCGAAGCUAACGCAUUAAGCACUCCGCCUGGGGAGUACGACCGCAAGGUUGAAACUCAAAGGAAUUGACGGGGGCCCGCACAAGCGGUGGAGCAUGUGGNUUUAAUUCGACGCAACGCGAARNAACCUUACCAGAUCUUGACAUCUNUCCGCUACGCCUCGAGAGNAGGSGGUUCCCCUUCGGGG